UGAAGGCAUAGCUGGCCCUGGAAGAGCGUGCCCAGGCCACCUUCAGAAGAGCUUUCUGAAGACGCAGAGCUCCACAGGACAGCUUGAAAGGUCAUGACCCAGACAGCACAUCCCUGGAUAACUCCAGUCUGUAUCAAGCUGGCAUAAAACUAGCCAGGACAACCUGUUAACAGGAUUUAUGGAUUUCUACUUCCUUGAUCCCCAGCUGCUUCCUCACUUGCCCACAAGAUCAAGAUGUGUUGAUGAAUGCACACACGAGCACAACCAGAUCAUACCUGUUUGCUCACACCCAGGGCGCACCCACCCGCAGAAGCUUCACAUGUCUCCAGGCCAACCACGAGUGCACACAGUGCUCAGGGCACACGCCUGAGCUGACCUCACGGCCCCGGGACUUCAGGCAAGCGGUCUUAUUUCCAUGGGCCGGCUCCCUGGUGACAGAGCGAAUGGGCGCUCAACUGAGCUGGUUGCGGGGCUCUUCCCAGCUACAACCUGAGGAUCAUGUCUCCAGGGCUGCCCUCCAGUUAAGCC